CUUCAUGAAGGUACUAAAUACCCUUGUGGCACCCUUGUGAGCUUGAUAUGGAAUUUGAAAGAAAAGUCACAAUGGUAGAAGGGUGUCAUAGAAGAAUGCUCAAUACAUCCAGGGAAAAUGAAGGUGUAUGUCAUGAAAGGAGAAACUGGAGCAUUUUAUAGCCAGAUUUGGGGGGCAGAAACCUGUGAGAGAACAGAGUGAAGAGGGAAAAAAUAAAAUAGAAGAGAAAAAGGAGUGUAGUAAUUGAUGGAGCAAGGUGUAUGAGCACUUUUAUAGACAUUAAAGUUGUCAGCCCUUCAUCUACUCUUUUUCCUUGCAAUGAUUUCCCAAGGAACAUUGAAAGGGAGCAGUAUCAUCUCCUCAAUCAUACUGCUGAAGGACCAGUGAAUUUGUCUGACAGCAUCUCGCUAAAACCUUGCAACAUCCCUGUGAAGAAGCAGUACAUGGUAAAACACAGAUCUGUAUAUCCUGAGUGGCAAAACAGAGCAAAGCAAAAAGUUCCAAAAAUGUAAUGGAGACAUAGUAAAAAUAAGAGAGCUAAGAAA